rnacentral:rRNA from 1 species
CACGUAGGGCGCAAGCGUUGUCCGGAAUUAUUGGGCGUAAAGAGCUCGUAGGCGGUCUGUUACGUCUGCUGUGAAAACCCGGGGCUUAACCCUGGGCUUGCAGUGGGUACGGGCAGACUAGAGUGCGGUAGGGGAGAUUGGAAUUCCUGGUGUAGCGGUGGAAUGCGCAGAUAUCAGGAGGAACACCGAUGGCGAAGGCAGAUCUCUGGGCCGUAACUGACGCUGAGGAGCGAAAGCGUGGGGAGCGAACAGG